rnacentral:rRNA from 1 species
UGAUUUCUUCGGAAUGACGAUUUAGUGACUGAGUGGCGGACGGGUGAGUAACGCGUGGGCAACCUGCCCUGUACAGGGGGACAACAGCUGGAAACGGCUGCUAAUACCGCAUAAGCGCACAGCAUCGCAUGAUGCCGUGUGAAAAACUCCGGUGGUACAGGAUGGGCCCGCGUUGGAUUAGGUAGUUGGUGAGGUAACGGCCCACCAAGCCGACGAUCCAUAGCCGACCUGAGAGGGUGACCGGCCACAUUGGGACUGAGACACGGCCCAAACUCC